GGGCCCGCACAAGCGGUGGAGUAUGUGGUUUAAUUCGAUGAUACGCGAGGAACCUUACCAGGGCUUAAAUGUAGUCUGACAGGGGUGGAAACACCCCCUCCUUCGGGCAGAUUACAAGGUGCUGCAUGGUUGUCGUCAGCUCGUGCCGUGAGGUGUCAGGUUAAGUCCCGCAACGAGCGCAACCCCUAUCUUUAGUUGCUAGCAGGUAAUGCUGAGGACUCUAAAGAAACUGCCUACGCAAGUAGUGAGGAAGGCGGGGACGACGUCAAGUCAUCACGGCCCUUACGUCCUGGGCCACACACGUGCUACAAUGGUAGAUACAGAGGGCAGCUACCCGCGAGGGGAUGCGAAUCUCGAAAGUCUAUCUCAGUUCGGAUUGGAGUCUGCAACUCGACUCUAUGAAGCUGGAAUCGCUAGUAAUCGCGCAU
rnacentral:rRNA from 1 species